GGGUGAGCUUAUACAGGCUCAUUGAAUAAACUAAUCAAUAUUAAUUAGUUAUAUCAUUCAUUUCAUAUAUAUGUAAUGCAUAAUCUAAAUGAGUUUUCACAUUGUAAACAUUCCAUAUAAGAUGGAUUUGUCAUCAGUGAUCCAGAUCCAAUGUGCCCAACUCAAACAGAAGCUUCUCAGGACUUCCGUUUAAUAUAUCCAAUGUGUCCAGCUCAUACAGAGGAUCUUCAUAGCUUUCACUUAAAAGUAGU
rnacentral:misc_RNA from 1 species